UUCAUUCUUUCUAUGUUUAUUCAAAAAGAAAAUACUAUUUGGGUGUUUGUGUGGCUGGUUGAAAUUCCAACUUUUCACAGUAUGUAGGAAGGAAAAAGCCACUGAAUUUUCAAUUAGUGGCCACAGUUUUGGGGCAUAGCCCAGGAAUUUUUAUCAGUAAAGCAGUACAACUUGAUAUUAGGGACAAGGCAUCCCCUUUCCUGCGGCUAUACCUUGAUAUCCCACAUUGGCUUCAGGUUCAAUGUGCACCUGACUCUGCCCUGGCGCUGGCACUGAGGAACCAGCUGCUGCUUUCACAUGCCUGAGAUGUAUCAGAUGGUAUGACUGAAGUGGGACAGAUGGGAGAAGGAGCAACAGCAAGCUACUGGAAACCAUCCAAAUGUUUAAAUGAGAAGUGAGCUGAAGAAAGAAUGUUUCUGAAAAUGUACUUGUUCCUUAGUGGAUAAAAUACACUCAUUACUGGUACGUUCCCAUGCAUCGGUUAGUAUAGUCUUUAAUUAAAUUAUCCCUGACAUAAAGUCAUAGUCUCUCAGACAGCAGCACAGACUCGUGCUGCCCAACAGAACUCUUGACAGGCUGUAGGGGCCAUCACUGUGCUCUGCAGACCAGCAGCUCCAGUCCCUGAGAGACCCGCACAGGACUGGACUCAGCAGUUCCUGUGUCCCAGUCACCAGCCGAGACCCCGGUGGUGCCGCUCCAGGCCAGGAAGCGCAUCCUGGCAGCCCCAGAAACAGCCUGACCUGCUCCCAGUGGCAGCUGCAGCCACAGGAGCGGUGUGUAGCUCUGGGGUUCCACCGGUGAAACAGAAGACAGCUGGGUUUGGAACACCGUACGGGUCCCGUUACGGGGUCCCUGUGGCUCUGCCCCAGCCUGCGGGUCGGUAACGGGCCGUUCGCAGCAGGAGGCCACAGGCGCAAGGCAGAGGCACCUCAGGCUGUGAGCUGCUCUUGUCUGGAGGCUGCACUGUUGACCGCAAGCUCUGGCCAAAUACUACAGCUUUUUUAAUUAUUAUUUUUGUUUCAAUUUUUUACAGCCUAGAGAGUAACAGCACAGCUGGUCCCAUGCUGCUCUCCAUGGUACCUGACCAGCCAGCCCCACCUGGACACCCCGCAGGUGCCCAUGUCCUCGUGGUCAUGUUUCGGUCGGGGGCCGUGGGUUCCUGCCCCAGCAGUGCUGUAGGGUGCUGAUCACCAUGAAGGUAGGAGAAAGAGCAGUUAGCUGAGUGGGGGACCAUGUGCCUGCAGGCAACUUUUCCUCAAAUCAAAGAUUACUGGUCAUCCACCUCUGGUCUGGUACACAGGCAAUUGAUGUGACAGCUGGACCUUGGGGUGCCAGGACAGAGCAGGGACGAGGCCACAGCUGGUGCCUGGGCAGCACUGCUGGCAUCGCCACGCAUCUGCCAGAGGAUGUUGGGGUUUUCCCGAUCCAUCAAAAACAGCCAUCUGGAGAAAGUAUAAUACAAUUGGGAUAAAAUUUUAGAAGAGAUUACUUUAACUAACAUCUAAGAUUUCUUGUUCCACACACACACGAUUUCUGAGAUUGUUUGUGAACGUGAAUUAGCACUGGACUGUAGUUAUGGAACUUAGUUAAUUGAUCAUGGCCCAAGCAGCUUUGCUUCUAAAGCUGCUUAAAGCAGUGUGCUAAACCAAAAGGUUCCUCCGAUAACCCCGUCAAUGCCUGUGGCCACAGGUACUGUCACAGACCUUGUCUCCAAAGCAUCUGUGAGGGAACAUUGUUCUGACGUAAGAGUUUCCCAGAUUUGGUGGAAUCCCUGUGGUAAAUCAAAAAAAUUUGCAGGUUUCAGUUCAUUUCAGCACGAGUGGAAAGGAGAUAUAUACACAGUGGCAGGAGACAAGGAUGGAUGUUAAGGGAGCCUUCCACCAGUAAAACCACCAGCUGUGUCUCCAGGAUGUUACUAGUAAUUCUGCAGUACCUGAUUCCUGCCCCUGUCCCUUCUCCUCUCUGUCCUUCGCUCCUGUUUGUACAGCUGCAGCAGGACAUGUUUCUGCUGUUGAGUGACCAACUCUGGUCCCACUGUCACCCCUGAGGCAGGUUACCUCUCCAGAUGUCUCUUCCAUCCCCUUAAAGCUUUCUUCUAAAGAACCAGAACAUCACGGACAGGAUGUGACACAAGGUAUUUGCUCAAGUACAAUGGGUUUGGUGAGGAAGAGUUUAAGAUUUUUUUUUCCCAGCUAACUAAUUUUUCUUUUAGAAGAUUUUUUUUCUGAUUUUUUUUUUUGUUUGUACUUACAAAAAAGGUACAUUAAUCUCUGCAGCAAUUAAAAUUGGCUUUUUUCAUUUUACUACAUCCAAAUUUCUAGAUUCUCCAUCUACUUAAGCUUAAGAUUCAAGGCUCACAAGAGAAACCCUUAGGGAGGCAACCUAUUGCUGGACAUCAAAUGACACACCAUGUUUCCAGAGUUACAGCCAUGCUAACAAAGCUAAUAACAAUUUAUUAUUAAUAAUUCUGCUCUAGCUAAUGUGUCGUGCUUUUCAUUUUCAUUGUGCUGUAUGUACAUUAACUAAUAAAUAUCCACAAUAUCUCAGUGAGGGUGGUAAGUGCUGUUAUUCUCAUUUUAUGGAUGGCAAAAUGAGAUACAGAGAGGUUAAUAGCAAGUCUAAUUGGACAAUAAUUACCCACUUAACACACUGAAAAUUAAGAAAUAAUCCUCCCUUUGUCAUUACAUCAUCAGAACAAGGAGAGAGCAGUGUUCACAUUCUCCCUAUCCCACCAUUUAGCCAAACAGCUUAUAUGCAAAUGAAAGCAAAGCAAGUGCAACAGCAGAUAAAUAAAUUGUUCUUAUUUUUUUUUUAACAUCUAUUUUCCAUCACUGAGUCACUUCAGGAUAAAAGAAAAUUAUUGAAUUUUCUCUGAAAUCUAUUAGGAGAUGAUUUCAAAUGAAGUCAAACUCUAUUUGUAAAACAUGUCUUUUGGAAAAGAAAUGGAAGAAAGGGGAUGUAGUUACUGCUAUGGACUGGUUUAACUUAUUUUUUCUGAAGAGGCAAAAAAAUGUAGCAAAAAAAUUUCCAACUUAAAAGACAACGGGAAAGCCAGGAGCUCCGAAUUCUCUUGUGACAGCACUUGCACCUGCUUUGCAGCCCUCCGGUUGUUGGCUGAUACAUUUGGUGAUACCUGGUUUGAGCCUGUGUGUGUGCGUGCCAUCGGUGUGCUGUGACCUGUUACCACUCAGUCCUUUCAAAGAAUCAGGAGACUGAUGGGACCUUGGCAGGUUGUUCUGGUCUUGCCUGGCCACAGUGGCUGGCGCCAAAGGGCAGCACUAUCUGCUCAAAAACAUCCAAGCCACGGCUUGUUUGACCUUUGUCUACCUCUGCACAUCUCUUGGAAAAAUGGUGGGGAUCAGGAGCUUAUCUUUACCUUCUGUCAUUUAAAAGGAACGUGCUAAAAUGGUUGCUAGAGCCUUCAAGCAAGUCUGCAGCUGCCUCAUUAUGUGGAUUUCCAUUGGAUCAUGACACACAAUAACUGCUCAGAGUCAAAAGGCACCAAGUGAAGGCUCAGCAAAUGCAAUUGCCUUGUGAUGAACUGUCGGUCCUGGGCACUGCUGGAAUUAUGAAUUUCCAAGAUUUUGAUGGUACUGAAUUUUGCUAGUAGAAUGAAUCUUUAAGAUUUUGAUAGUACUGAACUUUAUCAAUAGAAUAAUAAUAUAUUAUUAUAAAAGGUAAUAAAGCCCAAUAAUCUAUGUUUUUAUAUUUCCAUAGUCCCCACUAAUUUUAUGGGAGCACAUGGUAUUUUGUCCCAAAAGUGACAGUGACUUGAUGACAAGAGAAUGUCAUUAACAGUAGCAGCUAAUGCUAUGCACGUGAUUAUG